AACACGCCGCAUUCUUAUCUCGUUCGAGAAACCGGCGUAGCCGCGUGUGCACACAGAGACGGCGUCGCGUAUACGUAGAGGCUAGUUGUCUCCUCUAAUAAUACAAUAACGAUGGAAGGCGUCGCUCACGGGCAAGUCCGCCUAUAGUGCAGUUGCUCAGGAUAUCGCUUCCGGGUCUCUCUCUCUCUCUCUCUUCUCGAUAUGACGUUUCCAACUGCGCUGACCCGUAAACACCGCGCUCGUGACGUCAUAUGUUCCGUGGAAAUUGUACAAAGUUAUGCGAACUACGAUGAUUAUCGGCAACACAUUUUUACGAGAUGCGAACAAACGCGCAUCACAUUUUAACAAACGCUCCGAAACACGAUCCGAUGUUCAUUUCCUUUUCCCAAUCGGUUCGAUUUUUAUUCCUCGCUUGUUAUCUGCAUGGAAUACAGUAAGAUGCACUUAACUCUUUUUUUCUUAGAAAGGAAUCCGUCCACGCCUCGGAAUUGAGAGAAAUAUAGGAGUAGGAGAAACAAGUUGCAAUUCCCACGCUGCACCCGCUCGGGAUGCUACAAGAACUUUCGCUAUCUAACCUUAUAGAAGAGCCGGUGCAUUGCGAAAUGCACGUAAUGGUACACGACCGUGGGUAUUUUUGUUUGGGCGGCUUGAAAUCUCUCGGCGCUUUGAGUCGAGAGUAUGGAUUCGCGAGCGAGCGCAGUGUAGUGAUAAAGCGAUAGAAUAUCGUAAACAAACAUACGCAGAUCAUUGUAGUUAUUAAAUAUUAGAAAGUCAAAUUAACUAAU